UGACUGUUUUAUAAGUAGGUUUUAUUAGAGAUUUGUCAACUUUAAUAAAUCGCUCAACAUGUUUUUUCCGUAAUAGCUACCGUGAUGAAACAGAUACAAAUGGUGCAUGAUUAAAUCUUUAAUGUCCUCCACGACCUGCUUUUCCUCCGUGGUCACCUCCUUUUCCUUUAUGGUCGCCUCCAUGAUCUCCUCCAUGCUCGCCUCCUUUUCCUUUAUGCUCGCCUCCUUUUCCUUUAUGCUCGCCUCCAUGAUCUCCUCCAUGCUCGCCGGAUUUUCCAUGCCCAUGGCCGUGUCCCCCUUUUCCACCUUUUCCCUUCUUCCCCUGGAAAUGACAAAAAUAACAUUACUAGACUCACCUAUUGGUAUCGGAAAACCUUUCCUUUAUGAAUGGAAAUGUUUUCCCUUCAAUUGUCUCAACGAUUACACCCAUUACCCUGACAUGUGAAAAUCUAAAUUCCAUUUUUUGGGGUGUUUCCGAAACAAUAUUAAUGUUAUUACGUUAAUGUGUAUGAACUAUUAUUUUGUAAGCCUCCUAACUCUCCCUUGCCCUCUCCUCCGGAGCCCUGUGAAACAGACAGUAUUCUGUUUACAUCCACCAGGACAACACUGGGAUCUAAGAUAUAGCAAGCUAGAAAAUAGUUUUGUUCUUUACUUCGCUUGAUUUGAAAAGUUUUUUAAGACAGUUGACUGAAGUAAAGAAGCAGAGAUAGACAAAUAAUGCAGAUAUCUUACAUCAUCAGUCCCAGGUGUGGACUCCGCCUGGAACAACAACACAUUAUGUCAAACACAUAGCACACAUGUCUGAAGGUAUUUUCUGUAUUUGAAAAGUAAGUUAACUAACUUACCGGUUUCUUUGCUGUGGAUAAAAAGUAAGGAAUAUUUUGAAGUUAUUCAAAUAAUAGAGGAAUGCAUUGUCAUUGUUUCCCAUUAAGCAUCGAGAAAGCAUGUUGGCCAUACUAGUCUACUCCUUGAAAUUGUAAAUGCAAUGUCAAUGCAAUAUAUUCUCAACUUCAGGGUUGAGUUGUGAAACUACAUAACUGCAUAUUCAUUUAAAACCUCAGUGCACAUAAUACAGUAAAUGAAGUGAACAACUUCAACACUUACCUGGAUCACUCAUUUUCUCAGACAAGAAUUGGCACUGAAAUCACACUGUUGGACAAAAUAAUCAGUAUAUCAAAUUAAAAGCCGGUAUUUUCUUAUCCUUGUAAAUAUCAAAGUUACUUUCGUCAUAUAAACAAGAGUUGCAUAAGAACCCAUCCAUUUACACAAGCCUCACCUGGUACUGGAGGUUGAAGGACUGUACAUAAACUGUAUUUUCAGUCUGUAUUUAUAAGAGAGUGUCGAGUAUGUAAAAACCACACCCAGUCCUUUUAAUUACAGGUGGAAAGGUGUUUGUAGUUGGACAGAAAAAGCAGGGUGGAGAAAUGAGAUGAUAGGUGACCCAAAAU
ensembl:lncRNA